rnacentral:SRP_RNA from 1 species
GCCGGGCGUGGUGGCGGGCGCCUGUAAUCCCAGCUACUCGGGAGGCUGAGGCAGGAGAAUCGCUUGAACCCAGGAGGCAGAGGUUGCAGUGAGCCGAGAUUGCCCCACUGCACUCCAGCCUGGGUGACAGAGUGAGACUUCGUCUCAA